rnacentral:snRNA from 1 species
GUGAAUCUUGAUGAUGCCAC